AAAGGAACCUGAAAGGGGAGAUACUAUAAUCACAAAAGUGGUUUUCCCAGGGUGAGCCUUAUCCAUUGCACUCUGGAUGUGCUGACCCCUGCGAUUUCCCCAAAUGUGGGAAACUCGAAUGCAUAAUUUGUAGUAUUGGGGGACUGUGUUCAAGCCCCCCCU